GACGUAGGGGACGAGCGUUGUCCGGAUUUAUUGGGCGUAAAGCGCGCGUAGGCGGCCUGGUAAGUCGGAUGUGAAAACCCGGGGCUCAACCCCGGGCCUGCAUCCGAAACUGCCCGGCUAGAGGUAGGUAGGGGAGAAUGGAAUUCCCGGUGUAGCGGUGAAAUGCGCAGAUAUCGGGAGGAACACCGGUGGCGAAGGCGGUUCUCUGGGCCUUACCUGACGCUGAGGAGCGAAAGCGUGGGGAGCGAACAGG
rnacentral:rRNA from 1 species